CCCUUAGAUGUCCUGGGCCGCACGCGCGUUACACUGAUGCACUCAACGAGCAUAUAACCUUGGCCGAGAGGCCUGGGUAAUCUUGUUAACAUGCAUCGUGAUAGGGAUAGAUUAUUGCAAUUUUUAAUCUUGAACGAGGAAUUCCUAGUAAUCGCGGUUCAUCAAACCGCAAUGAUUACGUCCCUGCCCUUUGUACACACCGCCCGUCGCACCUACCGAUUGAAUGGUCCGGUGAGGACUCGGGAUUGUGGUUUGGCUCCUUCAUUGGGGCCUGACCGCGAGAACUUGUCCGAACCUUAUCAUUUAGAGGAAGGUGAAGUCGUAACA
rnacentral:rRNA from 1 species